rnacentral:rRNA from 1 species
GACAGAGGUGCCAAGCGUUAGGCGGAAUCACUGGGCUUAAAGCGUGUGUAGGCGGACUCGUAAGUACCUUGUGAAAUCCCACGGCUCAACCGUGGAACUGCUUGGUAUACUGCGUUUCUUGGGCCAAUUAGGGGCAGCCGGAACAAAUGGUGGAGCGGUGAAAUGCGUAGAGAUCCGGAAGAACACCAGUGGCGAAGGCGGCUCUCUAGGACGGUACUGACGCUGAGACGCGAAAGCGUGGGGAGCGAACAGG